rnacentral:rRNA from 1 species
UACGGAGGGUGCGAGCGUUGUCCGGAAUCAUUGGGCGUAAAGGGCGCGUAGGUGGCGGGACAAGCGUGCGGUGAAAGCUCGGGGCUCAACCCCGAGUCGGCCGUGCGAACUGUCUUGCUUGAGCACUGUAGAGGCAGGCGGAAUUCCGGGUGUAGCGGUGGAAUGCGUAGAGAUCCGGAAGAACACCGGUGGCGAAGGCGGCCUGCUGGGCAGUAGCUGACGCUGAAGCGCGACAGCGUGGGGAGCAAACAGG